CCCGAGGCCUGGCUGCCGGCCUGGCUCUCUACACCCCUGUGCGCUCCACUUUUCUCCAGCUUACCGGCUGCACUGAGAUGGAAACGUCCCUUCUAGAAUUUUCUAUCAGUGGGUGGGGGUGGACUAACGGAACCAGCAAUGGGGCAGCUGCAGUGUUCCCCUAGAGAGAGUCUGCGGGACAGGACCGCUGUGGCCAGCAGGCACCUGCCCUCACCCCCUGCACAUCCCCGCACACCUCAGUGGCUGACCCAGUGCAGGGAGGAGGCCAGGGCCUCAGGACCCCCCAGGGCAGAGCUCCCAUGAGGAUGUGGCCAUCUGAGAGGGCCAGGCCCUCCCAGGUCCUGUGCUGGGUGACCUCACACCUUCCCCACACUGAUAAUUUAUUCAUUCACAGGACACAGACCAGGCACUAAGACGCCCUGGGCCUGCACUCAAAUGGCGCUUCCUUCAUUGUGACAGUUGCAUGACACCAGGGAUGGCCCCCACCUGCCCUUCUGAGCCCUGCAGCCCACCUGCACAUCUGGCCCACAGUCGCCCAAAAGACAGCAGGUGUCCGGGCACUUCCAGCCCCACCAGGUAUGGAGCAGGCCCCUGUGCCCACCUGACUUAGGGUGCCGUGGGGUAGCAGAGGAGAGCAGGCCCUCUCCUGCCCCCCACGCCUGGCCUGGCAUCCCUGGCCACCGUACAACUCUGAGCCUGUGGGGCUGGGAUCUACAUAGAUCUGUUCCAGUCCGCUGAGGUCAGGGAGGUUCAGGGUGGCCAACGUGGCAUGCAGCCCAUGGCCCACAGAGCACGACGGUCAGGAGGUGUCUGUCCAGAGGUCAGCAGUGGACUCCCUGCAGGCAGUGAGCCAGGCCCCUCGCUCAAAGCCUAAGAUGAAGAAGGCAGAGAGUAACGUGACAGAGGCCAUCAGAAAAAGCAGGGACAGAGCACGAGGAGCAAGGUAGUGUAUUCAGGAGAGCGGUACAGGGCCUUGGGGUUCUGCAGGAAGGGCAGGGGCAUUUCCUGGAGACCAGGAGACCAGUCCAGCUCACUAUGCCUGCAUCCAGCGUGUGUCGCAGGUGAGCCUCACUGUCCCAGACAGUGGGAUCACACCUGUGAGGAAGGCAGGCUGGGACAUUGGGGAGAAGCUUCCAGAAGCCAUCACAGAGGCCACUCCCCGGGAGCAGCUGUCUGAAAGCAGGUGCUGGGGCCCAGGUGACAGCAGCCCAGACAGGGAGGACCAGCAAGAUGUCCUCUGGAGAAGGGCUAACAGGCCUGGGACACAGGGACAGAGCUGUGGAGUGUGCAGGCAGCUCCAGACAGAGGGCCUGGUACCUUUGGAGCUCCCAACCAACCCAACUGCCACAUCGCCUGACACUGGGGCCUGCAGCCAAGCCACUGCUGGGGAAGGACAGCCCCAGAGACAGCCAGGUCCCUGGGAGGGACAACGGGAGGCCUCUCCCAGGACACUGUCCACCAAGCCCAGUCCCGCUGCUCGAGCAGCACACAGAGUUGGAGAUCAGGAUCCCAGAGCAGCCCCUCUCGCCUGGCCAGAGAUGGAAGCCAUGCCACACCUGUUUCCACCCAGCACUCUCACUCAAUAAGCAAACAUUCUGGGGCCCCCAGAAGCAACCCCCCAAAUUCUCUGGAUGAAGGAGGAAUGAGGGCAGGCGCCUAGACCACUGCCGGCCAGCUUCCCAGAUGCUUGUGGGAAGCCCAGCAUCCGGACAGCUCUGGCAGCUUCCAGGGCUGGGUUAGCACACACGCCUGGCAGAGAAGUCUGGGCAGAAGGAGGAGCAUUCAGGGGAUUCCUGGGGGCCUUUCAGGCCUCUGGGUAUCAACAGGGCCUUCCCAGAAACCACAGGAAACUGGCAGCUCCGGGUCCUGGUUGAUGGAGAAGGCUCCAGAAAAGCCUGCAGGGCAGCAUUCAGGAAGGGAUGCCACCAGACCCCACAGGCCCUGGCACCCUGCACCCUCAGGCUCCUGAUCUGGCAGCCAACACACCACACUCCCCAUAUGUGAACCCCAGGAAGCCAUUCGCCUGCUCCUGGAGCUGGCCAAAUCAAAGUCCCUUCCAGGACUCCCCGUCCACUCCUCCCCUCAUCACUAGGGCAGGGCCAUCACCAACAGUGCUCUGGGUGACAGGUGGCUAUCUCUAGAGGUCGUUAACUCCAGAGCAUCAAGUCUUAAUGCAAAAAUGAGUUCUUCUAAAUCAGCGCAGCUGCGAUGCUAUAUAAAGAAACAGGGAUUUUAAUGUUUUGCUUUUCUUCCCUUUUCUAGUGCCACAUUAUCAUAACAUUUUCCCAUAAUUAUGCCCAUAAAAGUCACCUGAAAAUACUUCUUGCCACAAAAGUUGAUCUGCAUAUUUUAUGCCUCGGAUAUAGAGUGGCAGGUCCAAAGUGUGGAGUCUUGCUGACCAGUCCCACCAGGGUGAGGCCCUUUUCUGGGUUCUCCUGUUCCCUGGCCUAGGUCAGGGAAGGUUUCUGUAGCCAGGAGAGGGGUCCUUUUCCAGAAGUCCCUUCCUUUAGGAAACUCUCCAAGGAGACAAAGCCCCUCGAGGUCCAAGGUCGUUGGGCACCCAGCUCAGCUAGUAAAGAUCCCACAAGGAGAGGGAACCUACCUUCGUGUCCUUGAAAGAAACAAACAACACCUCUUGUGCCAGAAAUUCACCAAAUGAAAACACAGUAGGAAAUUAAAAAAAAAAAAACAACCAGAAAAAAAUUCUAGACGGCAUCACUUCAUUAAGCCUCUGUAUUUUCAAUUUUACCUCUUCAAGAACUCCGGAAAUAAAAAUUGAGCAGCAGGGAUAUAGCAUAUUCUAAUCUCUCCUAAAUAUGCCAUAAAUUGUAUUUAUAAAAGAAAUGCUACAUCAGAGUGUCUAUGCUUGGUUAGUAU